rnacentral:rRNA from 1 species
AACGAACGCUGGCGGCGUGCCUAACACAUGCAAGUCGAACGGACUCUUCGGAGUUAGUGGCGGACGGGUGAGUAAUACAUAGAAAACAUGCCCCUAAAGUGGGGGGAUAACAUUCCGAAGGGAGUGCUAAUACCCGGCAUAAUGUAGUCGGUUGGAAUACUGAUUAAGAAAGGAGCAAUUCGCUUAUGGAAUGGUCUAUGGUCGAUUAGAUAGUUGGUGGGGUAAAGGCCAACCAAGUCGAUGAUCGAUAGCUGGUCUGAGAGGACGAUCAGCCACACUGGGACUGAGACACGGCCCAGACUUCUACGGAAGGCAGCAGUGGGGAAUUUUCCGCAAUGGGCGAAAGCCUGACGGAGCGACGCCGCGUGGAGGAAGACGUAUUUCGGUAUGUAAACUCCUUUUGUCAGGGACGAAAAAAAUGACGGUACCUGAAGAAUAAGCAUACGGCUAACUACGUAG